GACGAACGCUGGCGGCGUGCUUAACACAUGCAAGUCGAACGCAGUGGCGAACGGGUGAGUAACGCGUAAUCAACCUGCACUUCAGAGGGGGACAACAGUUGGAAACGACUGCUACUACCGCAUACCGUAGGAGUGGAUUGCGUUGGUUUAUCGAGUGGGAGGGGUCAAGGCCCACCAAGGCGAUGAUUAGUAGACGGUCUGAGAUGAUGAACGGCCACAUUGGGACUGAGACACGGCCCAGACUCCUACGGGAGGCAGAAGUGGGGAAUCUUCCGCAAUGGACGGAAGUCUGACGGAGCAACGCCGCGUGAGUGAUGACGGUCUUCGGGUUGUAAAGCUCUGUUAAUCGGGACGCGGUACCGGAAUAGAAAGCCACGGCUAACUACGUGCCAGCAGCCGCGGUAAUUC
rnacentral:rRNA from 1 species